GACGAACGCUGGCGGCGUGCCUAAUACAUGCAAGUCGAACGCACUCUCGUUUAGAUUGAAGGAGUUUGCUCCUGAUUGAUAAACAUUCGAGUGAGUGGCGGACGGGUGAGUAACACGUGGGUAACCUGCCCUAAAGUGGGGGAUAACAUUUGGAAACAGAUGCUAAUACCGCAUAAAACCUAACACCGCAUGGUGUAAGGUUGAAAGAUGGUUUCGGCUAUCACUUUAGGAUGGACCCGCGGUGCAUUAGUUAGUUGGUGAGGUAAAGGCUCACCAAGACCGUGAUGCAUAGCCGACCUGAGAGGGUAAUCGGCCACACUGGGACUGAGACACGGCCCAGACUCCUACGGGAGGCAGCAGUAGGGAAUCUUCCACAAUGGACGAAAGUCUGAUGGAGCAACGCCGCGUGAGUGAAGAAGGUUUUCGGAUCGUAAAACUCUGUUGUUGGAGAAGAAUGUAUCUGAUAGUAACUGAUCAGGUAGUGACGGUAUCCAACCAGAAAGCCACGGCUAACUACGUG
rnacentral:rRNA from 1 species